GGUUCCUGUGAUCGCUGCAGUUGCCACGCAAGCCCAGCCAGAAGGAGUGCCUGCAAUACUUUUGUUUUGCCGUUUUGAGGAACAUCAUACCAAGCCUUACUGCUACAAAAUGUCAGCAAAUGUUUGCUCCUUGUCAAGACAUCACAAUAAUUUCGAUGACACCAGCCCCAGCACAUUGGAAUCAACUAUGGAAAUUGCCACCGAAGAUCCCGCUGCUGCUCCUCAAUUUGGAUCACCCGCGCCAAAACGGACAAGUUGACGUAAUCCCCACGUGAUCACCUUCUCUGGCACUUUCUGUUAAUCAGCUCUUGCUGAAGUCAAAUGAGAAGUGCCAUAAUCUAAAAUAGAUGGUGCCACUUCAAAUUUGCAA